UACGAAGGGGGCUAGCGUUGCUCGGAAUCACUGGGCGUAAAGCGCACGUAGGCGGGCAUCUAAGUCGGUGGUGAAAUCCUGGAGCUCAACUCCAGAACUGCCUUCGAUACUGGAUGUCUCGAGUCCGAGAGAGGUGAGUGGAACUGCGAGUGUAGAGGUGAAAUUCGUAGAUAUUCGGAAGAACACCAGUGGCGAAGGCGGCUCACUGGCCCGUUACCGACACUCAGGCGCGACAGCGUGGGGAGCAAACAGG
rnacentral:rRNA from 1 species